UACGUAGGGGGCGAGCGUUGUUCGGAAUUACUGGGCGUAAAGGGCUCGUAGGUGGCCAACUAAGUCAGACGUGAAAUCCCUCAGCUUAACUGGGGAACUGCGUCUGAUACUGGAUGGCUUGAGUUUGGGAGAGGGAUGCGGAAUUCCAGGUGUAGCGGUGAAAUGCGUAGAUAUUGGAAAGAACACCGAUGGCGAAGGCACUCUACUGGGCUAUUACUGACACUCAGAGACGAAAGCUAGGGGAGCAAAUGGG
rnacentral:rRNA from 1 species